GAUGAACGCUGGCGGCGUGCUUAACACAUGCAAGUCGAGCGAAGCGGUUGUGCGGAAUUUUUCGGAAGGAAGCAUAACUGACUGAGCGGCGGACGGGUGAGUAACGCGUGGAUAACCUGCCUCAUACAGGGGGAUAACAGUUAGAAAUGACUGCUAAUACCGCAUAAGCGCACAGAGAUGCAUGUCUCGGUGUGAAAAGCUGAGGCGGUAUGAGAUGGAUCCGCGUCUGAUUAGCUGGUUGGCGGGGUAGAGGCCCACCAAGGCGACGAUCAGUAGCCGACCUGAGAGGGUGGCCGGCCACAUUGGGACUGAGACACGGCCCAA
rnacentral:rRNA from 1 species